CAGCAGCCGCGGUAAUACCGGCGGCCCGAGUGGCGGCCACUAUUAUUGGGCCUAAAGCGUCCGUAGCCGGGCUGGUAAGUCCCCCGGGAAAUCUGGCGGCUUAACCGUCAGAAUGCCGGAGGAUACUCCCAGCCUAGGGAGCGGGAGAGGCCGAGGGUAUUCCCGGAGUAGGGGUGAAAUCCUAUAAUCCCGGGAGGACCACCUGUGGCGAAGGCGCUCGGCUGGAACGCGUCCGACGGUGAGGGACGAAGGCCAGGGGAGCAAACCGGAUUAGAUACCCGGGUAGUCCUGGCUGUAAACGAUGCGGACUUUGUGUCGGACAAGCUAUGAGCUUGUCCGGUGCCGGAGGGAAACCGUUAAGUCCGCCGCCUGGGGAGUACGGCCGCAAGGCUGAAACUUAAAGGAAUUGGCGGG
rnacentral:rRNA from 1 species